AACGCUAGCUACAGGCUUAACACAUGCAAGUCGCGGGGCAGCAUGUAUCUGGCUUGCCAGAUACGAUGGCGACCGGCGCACGGGUGAGUAACGCGUAUCCAACCUGCCCACCACUUGGGGAUAACCUUGCGAAAGUAAGACUAAUACCCAAUGACGUCUCUAGAAGACAUCUGAAAGAGAUUAAAGAUUUAUCGGUGAUGGAUGGGGAUGCGUCUGAUUAGCUUGUUGGCGGGGUAACGGCCCACCAAGGCGACGAUCAGUAGGGGUUCUGAGAGGAAGGUCCCCCACAUUGGAACUGAGACACGGUCCAAACUCCUACGGGAGGCAGCAGUGAGGAAUAUUGGUCAAUGGGCGAGAGCCUGAACCAGCCAAGUAGCGUGCAGGAUGACGGCCCUAUGGGUUGUAAACUGCUUUUAUAAGGGAAUAAAGUUAGUCUCGUGAGACUUUUUGCAUGUACCUUAUGAAUAAGGACCGGCUAAUUCCGUGCCAGCAGCCGCGGUAAUACGGAAGGUCCGGGCGUUAUCCGGAUUUAUUGGGUUUAAAGGGAGCGUAGGCCGGAGAUUAAGCGUGUUGUGAAAUGUAGACGCUCAACGUCUGCACUGCAGCGCGAACUGGUUUCCUUGAGUACGCACAAAGUGGGCGGAAUUCGUGGUGUAGCGGUGAAAUGCUUAGAUAUCACGAAGAACUCCGAUUG
rnacentral:rRNA from 1 species